rnacentral:rRNA from 1 species
CGGAUUUAUUGGGUUUAAAGGGUCCGUAGGCGGAUCUGUAAGUCAGUGGUGAAAUCUCACAGCUUAACUGUGAAACUGCCAUUGAUACUGCAGGUCUUGAGUAAAUUUGAAGUGGCUGGAAUAAGUAGUGUAGCGGUGAAAUGCAUAGAUAUUACUUAGAACACCAAUUGCGAAGGCAGGUCACUAAGAUUUAACUGACGCUGAUGGACGAAAGCGUGGGGAGCGAACAGGAUUAGAUACCCUGGUAGUCCACGCCGUAAACGAUGCUCACUCGAUGUUGGCGAUAUACAGUCAGCGUCCAAGCGAAAGCGAUAAGUGAGCCACCUGGGGAGUACGCUCGCAAGAGUGAAACUC